rnacentral:tRNA from 1 species
AGUCUUAUAUUCAAUUUAAUAUGAUAUAAAAUUGCAAAUUUUAAGGAAUAGAGUUUACUAUUAAGGCUU